GGCCUCGUAGCUCAACUGGUAGAGCACACGCGGUACUCAAUCGUUGGUGGUAACCACGUGUGAGUUCGAAUCCCUCCGGGGUCA
rnacentral:tRNA from 1 species